AUGAAUGCUCAGCUAAAAACGUCUGAAAUGUCUUACUAUAGUUUUGAUUCAAUUGACGAUAGCACUGCUAAUCAUUCCACUCUUGAAGCAUUAUACCCAACAGAGUUUCUAAACACAAUUCCGAUGCCCGGACUUCCUGACCAUAAGUUGCACUUGAAGAUUGGUGUUCCAAUUAUGCUUUUGCGCAAUCUUGAUCCAUCAAGGGGACUUUGUAAUGGUACUAGGCUGAUUGUCACCCAAUUGACAAAUCGUGUGAUUGAAGGUGAAAUCAUAACAGGGAAGGCUACAGGUUCAAAAGUAUAUAUCCCACGCAUUGUCACAACAUCAACUCACUCAAGGUGGCCCUUCAAAUUGAGACGGCGCCAGUUCCCCGUGCGCCUUUCAUAUGCAAUGACCAUAAACAAGAGUCAAGGGCAAAUCUUAAAUAGAGUUGGAGUCUAUUUGCCAUCUCCAGUGUUCUCUCAUGGUCAAUUAUAUGUAGCAUUUUCCAGAGUUACUUCACCAAAGGGGUUGAGAGUUCUAAUCGAAAAUAGUCCAGUUUUUUAUGAGAAUUGCACCCAUAAUGUAGUCUAUGCUGAAGUUUUUAGUCAAAUUAAUAGACUAUGA
rnacentral:rRNA from 1 species